rnacentral:rRNA from 1 species
AUUGAAUGCUGGCGGCAGGCCUAACACAUGCAAGUCGAGCGGAGCGGCGGACGGGUGAGUAAUGCAUAGGAAUCUGCCUGGUAGUGGGGGAUAACGUCCGGCAACGGGCGCUAAUACAGCAUACUAUCAGAUGAGCCUAGGGCGGAUUGGCUAGUUGGUGGGGUAAAGGCCUACCAAGGCGACGAUCCGUAACGGGUCUGAGAGGAUGAUCAGUCAAACUGGAACUGAGAAACGGUCCAGACUCCUACGGGAGGCAGCAGUGGGGAAUAUUGGAAAAUGGGCGAAAGCCUGAUCCAGCCAUGCAGCGUGGGUGAAGAAGGUCUGCGGAGUGUAAAGCACUUUAAGUUGGGAGGCGUUACCAACAGAAUAAGCACCGGCUAACUUCGUGCCAGCAGCCGCGGUAAUAC